rnacentral:pre_miRNA from 14 species
CUUUGGAGACGAGGGUGGUCACCCAUCCUCGACUAGCCCUCAAAUGAAAGACCCCCGGAGUGGGAAGACCCUCACUCAAGUCUCAGGAUGACUUGACCCCCCAAGAACUCACACAAGACC